rnacentral:rRNA from 1 species
GGAUGCGAUCGUACCAGCACUAAAGCACCGGAUCCCAUCAGAACUCCGAAGUCAAGCGUGCUUGGGCGAGAGUAGUACUAGGAUGGGUGACCUCCUGGGAAGUCCUCGUGUUGCAUUCC